AGAACGAACGCUGGCGGCAGGCUUAACACAUGCAAGUCGAGCGCCCCGCAAGGGGAGCGGCAGACGGGUGAGUAACGCGUGGGAACAUACCCUCCGGUUCGGAAUAGCUCAGGGAAACUUGGAUUAAUACCGGAUACGGCCUAGCGGCGAAAGAUUGAUCGCCGGAGGAUUGGCCCGCGUCUGAUUAGCUAGUUGGUGGGGUAAUGGCCCACCAAGGCGACGAUCAGUAGCUGGUCUGAGAGGAUGAUCAGCCACAUUGGGACUGAGACACGGCCCAAACUCCUACGGGAGGCAGCAGUGGGGAAUAUUGGACAAUGGGCGCAAGCCUGAUCCAGCCAUGCCGCGUGAGUGAUGACGGCCUUAGGGUUGUAAAGCUCUUUCGCUAGGGACGAUAAUGACGGUACCUAGACAAGACGCCCGCUAACUUCGCGCCAGCAGCCGC
rnacentral:rRNA from 1 species